UGUGCAAGAAGUGAUUGAGGCCUAUCAUCUUAAUGAAGUCUGAGUAAUCAACUGGCCUGCGUCGUGCCGCGACGUUAAAUCAAGCGUUGCUUAGGAGGCAACCCAAGAUGUACAAUCUAGCCAACGAUAGGUUUUUGUUUUCCAUCUAGCAGUUUUUGUGUUUAGUUUAUUCUCUGUAUUAAGUUAGAUAGGUGUUUUAGUUUUUUUUUUUUUUUCGUGUGUUGGCUAGAAUUAGCAUAGGGUCCGUGUCUAAAAAGUGUCCAGAAAAUGUAAAAAGAAUAGCCUAAUGGUUGCUACAUGUGCAGGUACGCUAUGAAAAUUCUACAGAAAAUGGUCUGGUGCAAAGAUCUACGGACCCCAUCGACGGUCCGUCGAUCCAUCCACGGACCGUGGAUAGUGUCCGUAGAUCCCAAGUAAGUCCCUACAACUUGUCUAAGUGUAAGAGUGAUCUACGGUCCCAAUCUACGGACCAUAGAUCGACC
rnacentral:lncRNA from 1 species